rnacentral:lncRNA from 1 species
GCAUUUGAAGAUUGGGAGCAUUUGAAGAUUGAGAGCAUUUUAGAGAUCAAGAAGAAUAGAAGAUUUUUGAAGUGAAGAUCAAGCAACAACGAAGUUUGUGAUCAAGUGGCAACGAAGUUCGUGAUCAAGAUAUCAAGCGAAGUUCGUGAUCAAGAUUAAGUCGUGAAGACCCUUGAAGCGAAGAUCAAGUGUUGGUGAUCAAGACUAAGUCGUGAAGACCCUUGACGCGAAGAUCAAGUGUUCGUGAUCAAGAUUAAGUCGUGAAGGCCCUUGAAGCGAAGAUCAAGUGUUCGUGAUCAAAACUAAGUCGUGAAGACCCUUGACUCGAAGAUCAAGCACGUUCGUGAUCAAGACUAAGUCCAAGUUUGCGACUCUUGAAGAUAAAUUGAAGAAAUUAAUCAGAGGAAUUUCUAGAGAUCAUCACUCACUUCAUCAAAUUUUUGUAUUUGUCUCAUAAUUUUUAAGUCAAGAAAUUUCGACGAAAAAUUUGUGUGUACAAAUUUCUGGCACACCUAGUGGGACUAUCUCUGCCUUUCAUCUUCUUUUUUCAAGCAAAUCUCCAAAUAUCUCUAAGUUGCAAUGGCUCCUAAGAAGAAUCUCGCCAACAAACCUACUGUCAAGCCUACUAGAGCGAAUCCUGCAUUCUUUCCAACCUCAUCAUCAAGUACAGAUGUUCCAACACAUCCAUAUGGUACUCGGAGAAAGACAGAAGCUCUUACUAAAUUGUAUGAGCAAACUCUCCAAGUCCUUAACCAAAAUCUUGUGUAUGAUGUUUCUUCCCCAAGUUCCGAAGAAGUCCCUACCAUGCAACUUGCUUCCUCUAAAGGAUCAAGUACCAAUCAACUCAAGGAAUAUGAUGGCUACUCAAGCAGUAGCUCUGUUUCAUCAUCCCUUCACCAAAGCUCUUCGUCAAAAGUCGAUUCUGGAAUGAUGGUUGCCAUGACCACUGGAACAACAUCUCUAGAAGAACAAGUAGCGCUUCUUGCGAAGACUGUGAAAUCUCUGACAACAAGCAUCAGAGAAAAGGAUGAACAAAUUGCCUCAAUAAUGGCAAAAAAUUAGUAGCCUUACUGGAAAGGCACCAAUGGAUCUUGGUCAAAUCAACGCCAAGAUAAUGAGGAGAAUUCCACUACGGGGAAAAUAAUCUCCAACAAAAAUCUAAUGAAGCAGUCACCAAUCAAUUGAAGGAACUCAUCAAAGAAGCCAUCAAGGAACAGGUGGAAAGUGUCACUCAACCUUCAUACACAUAUGCCAAGCCAUAUUCUCAAAGGAUUGAUCGCAUGAGGAUGCCACCAAACUAGCAGCCACCAAAGUUUCAACAAUUUGAUGGUAAAGGAAAUCCUCGUCAACAUGUUGCACACUUCAUAGAAACUUGUAACAACGUUGGCACUUAUGGUGAUCUUAUGGUGAAACAGUUUGUUCGCUCUUUAAAGGGCAAUGCUUUCGAUUGGUACACAGACUUAGAGCCUGGGAUGAUUGAUAAUUGAGAGCAAUUAGAACGUGAGUUCCUUAAUCGCUUCUAUAGCACUUGACGUGCGGUGAGUAUGAUUGAACUUACAAGUUUGCGCCAAUGGAAAGAUGAGCCUGUGAUUGAUUAUAUCCAUAGGUGGAGAAAUCUCAGUCUUAAUUACAAAGAGCGACUGUCUGAGUCCUCAGCUCUUGAUAUGUGCAUCCAAGGGAUGAAUUGGGGGUUACGCUAUAUUCUUCAAGGCAUUAAGCCUAAAACUUUUGAGGAAUUAGCUACUCGCGCUCAUGACAUGGAAUUAAGCAUGUCAGCUGUUGGAAAUCAAGGACCUCCAAUGCAAGAGCCAAGGAAAGGUAAGCAAGAUCUCCGCAAAGGGGGCAAAGCUUUGGCAGAUAAGGGUGAAGGAAAACAGUCUAUGACUGUAAAUACCAAGCCUAUCAAAGUGAAUGCCAAUUCAAAGAAAACCCAAGAAACAAAGCCUAGUCCCUCACAAGAUAAAAAGAAAGUAUCUUUGAAAGAAAGACAAGAGAAAAAGUAUCCUUUCCCUGACUCAGAUAUCGCAGGAAUGUUGGAAGAACUUUUGAAAGCUAAGCUCAUCCAAUUGCCAAAGAUGAAGCGACCGGAAGAAGUUGAUCAAGUAAAUGAUUCCAACUAUUGCAAGUACCAUCGUUUAAUUGGUCACCCCAUUGAAAAAUGUUUUGUCUUAAAAGACAAAAUCAUGGGUUAUACCAAGAUGGGAAAAUUAAGUUUGAAGAAGAAAUGGCUAUAGCAAAUGUAGCAUCAACAACAAGCAUGCUUUCUCCAUUUAAUGUGUGGAGCAAGAUAAAGUUCGGAUCUUUCGACUAUGUAAUGUUGACUCCGAACGUAAAAGAAACAUCAAAUCCUCAAGAUGAUGGGGGCAAAGCUUGUGGCUUUACAAGUAAGGAUCCAGACAAUGAAGGAUGGAUCCUAGUUACUCAUCAGAGAAAAGGAAAGAAAAAUCUUCCCAAGGACAUGCAAGCGCCAAAAAGAUCCAAAAUGGUGAAACAGCCAUCUAGGAAGAUGAUGCUAAAAACAAUGCCAAGAAAAAUAAGUAUAGGCAAGUGUGAAAAUUUGAUGGUGCAAAAGCCUAGACGACCAAUCACUUUGAAUAAUUUCAUGCCAAUGCAAUUCAAAAAUCAAAAUCCAAUUCCCACAUCAUGUUUCCAAAUCGAUGAAGACGUUAGGAAUGAAGAAAAAAUUAAGUUCAAUUCUAAUUCCUCUUAUGGUGCAGAAAUUACAUUUUCUGACGAAGACUUAUUGUUGGGGUCUACCCCUCAUAAUCGACCUCUUUUUGUUCAGGGAUAUAGUCGUGAACAAAAGAUCAAUCGAAUCCAAAUAGAUGAUGGAUCUGCUGUCAACUUACUCCCACUAAAAAUAAUGAAAGAGCUUGGGAUUCCUCUUGAUGAAUUAUCGAAAAGUCGCUUGAUGAUCCAAGGUUUUAAUCUUGAAGGGCAAAGAGCUAUAGGAAAAGUUAGACUUCAACUUUUCAUUUAUGAUAUGGAAUCUAAUCCAUUAUUUCAUGUGAUUGAUGCUAACACAACAUAUAACAUGUUGUUAGGGCGACCUUGGAUACAUCAAAAUGGUAUAGUAUCAUCGACGCUUCAUCAAUGCUUCAAAUAUUGUAGAAAUGGUCAAGUGAAGACAGUCAUAGCAAAUGUUAAGCCAUUUAUUACAACAGAGGCACAUUUGGCUGAUGCUAAGUUCUACUUGGAAAGUACUUUUGUAGAAGAAGUACAAUCCAAAGGCGAUCAGGGAAAUGACGAAGGACAAUCAUCAAAGGGAAAGGGAAAGAAACCGUCUUCAUCUACAAAGGAAAAUAAUGACCUUAUUGAAGGCUUAAAAAAUUUGACUUUGCCACUUACUAUUUUAGAAGAGUCAAAAUUCACUAAGUCUCCAUUGAAGGGAUUCGUAAGGCCAACAAAAGGGCCAUUGGUUGAACAUGAUGAUCUUCCCUCUCAAAGAGCUAAUGGUUUCGACCCUAAUGCUUAUAAGCUUCUAAUAAGGGCUGGAUACAAACAAGAAGAAGUUUCUAAGUUGGUACAUGAGCCUAGUGAACCAACCAAAGAAACUUCACAAGAUCUUUCCAAGAAUCGUAAAGUUUGGCAAAAAAAGGCAAAUGUUGUCAAAGCUACAAAAUCAGGGUUGGGAUUUACACCCUUAAAGUUGAAGAUUCAUAAAGAAGCUUUAAGAUAUAUAACGACUGAAGUUGACGAUGAGGAAAAAACCCCGGUGGAGUCAUAUAAACUUUCAAUUUUUGAUCGUUUGGGCACAGUCACAACUCAAACUUCAGUUUUUGAUCGAUUAAGCAUGCCUUCAAAUCGAGGUUCAGUGUUUAAUUGUAUCAACAAAGAUUAUACAAAAGGGACUUCAAGAGAUCCCAUCAGUUCGAGGGUAAAAAGAAAACCUUCACAAAAGAGGAAUAAAAAGAGCCUCGUGACAUAUGAAUUAAAAUAUUUUCAUAACAUCAUCCCUUCAUGAAUGAAAAGAAAAAGUGAAUGCAUUGUAACAAAUGAUGAAACAUUAAAGGCUAGAAGGUGCAUUGUGAUUGUGACUAAACAAGCCUCAUCUUUAGAAGAGGAAGAGCAAGAAGAAAUAGAGAUCUUCACAUAUAAUCACAUGUCUAUAGUAGAAAGUGAUGAAAAAUCUGAAGAAGAAGAUAUCCAAGAAGCUCUUCCGUCAUUAGAGGAAGGAAAUCGACCUACAAUUGAUGAAUUAAAAGAAGUUAACAUAGGCACUACAGAAGAUCCUCGUCCAAUCUUCAUAAGUGCUAGUUUAACUUUUGAAGAAGAAAAAUCUUAUAUUGACCUUUUGACAAGGUAUCGAGACGUCUUUGCAUGGACUUACAAAGAAAUGCCAGGGUUGGACCCUAAAGUCGCUGUGCAUCACCUAGCAGUAAAGAAAGGCGUUCGACCCAUUAAACAAGCUCAACGACAUCUUCACCCUAACUUGAUUCCCCAAAUAGAGGUUGAGGUCAAUAACUCAUUGAGGUUGGCUUUAUUCGAGAAGUCAAGUACCUUACUUGGAUCUCAAAUAUUGUUCCAGUUAGAGAGAAGAAUGGCCAAAUUCGAGUUUGUGUGGAUUUUCGAGACUUGAACUAUGCUUGCCCAAAGGAUGAUUUUCCUCUCCCUUUGACAAAAAUAAUGGUGGAUGCAACAACUGGCCAUGAGGCUUUAUCUUUUAUGGAUGGCUCCUCUGGUUAUAAUCAAAUUCGUAUGGAUCCAAAGGACGAAGAGCUUACUGCAUUUCGAACUCCUAAAGGAAUAUACUGUUACAAAGUUAUGCUUUUUAGGUUAAAGAAUGCAGGCGCUACUUAUCAAAGGGCAAUGCAAAAGAUUUUCGAUGAUAUGCUACAUAGGAAUGUUGAAUGCUAUGUGGAUGAUUUGGUGGUUAAGUCCAAAAAUAGGGUUGAUCAUCUUGAAGAUCUUUGCCAAGUAUUCGAGAGAUUGUGUCGAUAUCAAUUGAGGAUGAAUCCCUUAAAGUGUGCAUUUGGAGUAUCUUUGGGAAAAUUUUUAGGAUUCAUAGUGCGCCAUCGUGGGAUUGAAAUUGAUCAAUCAAAAAUAGAUGCAAUCAUGAAAAUGCCUGAGCCAAGCAAUCUCCACGAACUUAAAAGUUUGCAAGGAAGAUUGGCUUAUAUUCGACGCUUCAUAUUGAACUUGGUUGGUAGAUGUCAACCAUUUAGUCGAUUGAUGAAGAAGGAUACGCCUUUUGUUUGGGAUGAGUCUUGUAGUAAUGCUUUUAAAAGCAUAAAGUCUUAUUUACUACGGUCUCUAGUUUUAAGGGCUCCUACACCAGGACGUCCAUUAAUCUUCUAUGUUGCGGCACAAGAACGCUCUUUAGGAGCACUUUUGGCACAAAAAAAUUAUGAAGGAAAGGAAAAUGCGCUUUACUACCUUAGUAGAACUCUUAAUGGGGCAGAAUUAAAUUAUUCUCCCAUUGAGAAGACAUGCUUGGCAUUAAUGUUUACCAUUAAGAAAUUAAGGCACUAUUUGCAAGCUCAUUCUGUGCACUUAAUUUCACGAGCAGAUCCCCUCAAGUAUCUUAUGUCAAAAUCAAUGUUAAGUGGGAGAUUGGCAAAAUGGGCUCUUUUGUUACAAGAGUUCGAUAUCACAUAUAUCCCUCAAAAAGUUGUCAAGGGACAAGCACUUACAGAUUUUCUUGCAGACCAUCCAAUUCCAGAUGAUUGGAAAUUUUUUGAAGAUCUGCUAGAUGAAGAUGUUAUUUGCAUUGAAAUCCUUAGGCCAUGGAAGCUAUACUUUGAUGGAGCAGCUCGACAAGAUGGGGCAGGUGCAAGAGUCAUUUUUAUCACCCUAGAAGGAGAAGUAUUGCCUUACGCAUUUACUCUCAUCAAAAAUUGUUCCAAUAAUGUGGCAGAAUACCAAGCCUUGAUCAUAGGUUUGGAGAUGGCAAUGGAUAUGCAAAUCACUCAACUUAAGGUGUUUGGAGAUUCUAAGUUGGUUAUAAACCAAAUCCUUACACUUUAUGAAGUUAAAAAGCCUGAGCUCUUGCCAUAUGUCAACUAUGUUAAAAAACUUUUGAAGUGGUUUGACAAAACUAGCAUAGAACAUGUGCCUAGAAAAGAAAAUAGGCAAGCAGAUUCUUUGGCUAAUUUAGCGUAAGCAAUUGCCUCACCAAAUACAGAAUUAAAAAUGCAUCUUUGCAAGCGGUGGAUCAUACCACCAAUCACUCUAAGUGAAGAAGUCGACGUAGAGUCUAAUGUCGUCUCAGUCUUUGAAGUGGGAAAAGAAGAUUGGCGACAGUUGUUGAUUGACUAUGUAGAGCAUGGCAAGCUUCAUAAUGAUCCAAGACAUAAAAUAGAGAUAAAAUGUCGAGCUCCUCGAUUUAUUUAUUUCAAAGGUAUACUCUAUCGUCGUUCCUUUGACGGAGUUUUUCUUCAUUGUUUAGGAGACGAAGAAGCAUACAAGGCUUUACAAGAAGCUCACUCAAGAAUUUGUGGGGCGUAUCAAUCUGGAGCCAAGUUGCACUUCCAAAUCGAAAGAAUAGGGUACUAUUGGCCAACAAUGGUGAAGGAUAGCAUGGACUAUGCUAAAAGAUGUCAAGCAUGUCAAUUUCAUGCCAAUUUCAUUCAUCAGCCCCUUGAGCCACUCCACCCAACAAUUACAUCAUGGCCAUUUGAUGCUUGGGGACUCGACUUGGUUGGACCAUUACCUAAGAGUUCCACAAGGCAUCUCUACAUACUCGCAGCCACAGACUACUUUUCAAAAUGGGCGGAAGCAGCCUCUUAUCGAGAAGUAAAGAAAGAAACUGUUGCUACAUUGAUUAUAACAAAUAUCAUUUAUCAUUAUGGCGUGCCACGAUGCAUCAUAACAGAUAAUGGAAAACAAUUCGCAAUGGAGAAGUUAUGUGCACAAUUUAACUUCAAGCAAUAUAAUUCUUCUAUGUACCACGCACCAGCAAAUGGGUUAGCAGAAGCUUUUAAUAAGACUUUGUGCAAACUUCUCAAGAAAGUUGCUAAUCGCAUAAAGAAAGAUUGGCCAGAGAAAAUAUGGGAGGCUUUAUGGGCUUAUUGUACGACAUUUCGUACACCUACUCAAGCAACUCCAUAUUCGCUUGUUUAUGGUGUGGAAGCUGUCCUCCCAUUAGAGCGUCAAAUUCCAUCAUUGAGAAUUGCCAUUCAAGAAGGUCUUUCAAAUGAAGAUAAUGUUCGCCAACGCCUUGAAGAACUUGAAGCAUUAGAUGAGAAAAGGUUGGAAGCACAAUAACGCUUGGAAUGUUAUCAAGCUCGAUUAUCUAAAGCUUUCAACAAGAAAGUUAAACCACGAUCAUUCCAAGUGGGAGACUUAGUUCUUGCAGUGUGAAGACCCAUAAACACUACACAUCGUAUGGGUAAUAAAUUCCUUUCAAAGUGGGAUGGACCAUAUGUUGUUCAAGAAGUCUACACUAACGGCGCAUACAAAAUUGUUGAUCAAGAUGGAGUAAGAGUUGGCCCAAUCAAUGGUAGAUUCUUGAAACGUUAUUAUGCUUGAAGGUCAAAUGCUCCUUAGCAAGAGCUUAAACUGCAUCAAAAAAAAAAGCCUGCUAAGUUGAAAAUCCUUAACAAGACGACUUAGGCAAAAUUUAAGGCAAAAAAAAAAAGCCUGCUAAGUUGAAAAUCCUUAACAGGAUGAUUUAGGCAAAAAAAAAAAAAAACGCUUGCUAAGUUAAAAAUCCUUAACAGGACAAUUUAGGCAAAAGUUAAGGCAAAAAAAAAAUAUGAACUACGUUAUGACUUGAUCCUUCUUUGUAUUAGGAGGUACGUAGGCAGCUUGGUUCCAUUGCCAAGUUCAGUCACACCAAAAAAAAAAAAAUCUCUUGCAUCAAGCAUGGCUCAAUUCUUUAUGAUGAUGAAGCUACCAAGAUAAAACAUCGAAGAAUAAAUCAAACGUACUAUUGAAGGAUGGUUCAAGGCCAAUAAAUUUACAAAUUUGUCCAAAGUAUUCUUUAACUAUGUUCUUCAACGAGGCUGAAUCAACAGUUUUGCUAUGGGAAGAAAUAACCUCUUCUUCAUAUCUUCAUUCUUGGAGACAAUGAAAAAAUCUUUGUAAUCCUUGAAGUAUACCAUGGUGAAAUUAAAUUGUGUGCUAUUUUAAAGAGCACCUCCCAAGGAUUAACAAGUGCUAUUAUAAAGAGCACCCUCCAAGGAUAAUAAAUUGUGUGCUAGAAUAAAGAGCACCUCCCAAGGAUCAAUAAGUGCUAUUAUAAAGAGCACCCUCCGAGGAUAAUAAAUUGUGUGCUAUUAUGAAGAGCACCCUCCAAGGAUUAAUAAGUGCUAUGAUAAAGAGCACCCUCGAGGAAAAUAAAUUGCGUGCUAUUAUAAAAAGCAUCACUUUAAAUUGCUGCCAAUUUCUCUACUUCAAUUUGAGCUUGAUUUGAUUAUAGACUGAUAAGUUUGAGAUUUAACUGUCAAUAAAAUAUCAAAUUAUUAGUCUAAAACAACAAUUUACAAAAAAAAAAAGUUGAAGCAAUAAAAAAAAAAUCAUGGCAACGUUGGAUUUCCUUGGCAUGGCAAUUUACGAUUGUACGUACAGGAAAUUGAUGAGAACAUAUUGACCAAUUCUUGGCCUCCUGAAUGUUUGCCUAUAUUCAUGUAAUGUGGCAAGAUGAAUGGUGGUUUGGCAUGGCAAUGAAGACAAGUGGCGGCUUGCAUAUCAAUUGAAAGAAAUCAUGGCUAAUAUAAUUUUCUUUCCUAAGUGUGUAAUGUGGCAAGAUACAAAGUGCAUGAGCCUUGUAAAUGUGGCAAAAGGAUGAUGUAACGUGGGCAUUAGUCAAUUGUUUAAAUCUUGGCUUAGUUGUAUAACAUGGCAAAAACAUGAGGAUUAAAAGACUUUAGCCAAUUCUUGGCUCCCUUUUGGCUUUGUAACGUGGCAAGUGGUGGCUUAUCAUGGCAAUUAGAUAAAUGGUGGCUUGCAUGCUUUUAACAUGGUAAUUAAAACAAGUGGCGGCUUGUAGCUUGGGAAUUGGAAUAAAUGGCAACUUGCAAGAUUUUAGCAUGCAAAAUAACGAGAGUUGCAUAAUUAAAAAAGCCCAUACGCAGGUGAAUUCUAUUGCCAUGUUAAUAAAGGGAAGAGAAAGAAAGGACGACAUACCUUAUAAUUUUGAGAAGAUGAAAAAAUCGGUCUUGCUUGCUUAUGGAAUAUCCGUAAUGCUCAAGUUGAUUUUGAUGUGCAGGAAAUUGACCAGGGAAUUCCGUUUUUAUAGAGUAAAAAGACAAUCCUUGUUGAUUAAGGAAUGUAAUCCUAAUUGCAAUAUACUUCUUUAAAUAGUUUUAUUGCAAUAUACCUCUUUCAAAAUUAUAGCCUUAUUGCAAUAUACUUCUUCAAAUAGUUUUAUUGCAAUGUACAUCUUCCAAGAUUAUAAUUCUUUUACCAAUGAGCAAGCAUAAUUCAAAUUUAAUUUGGAUUGCAAGUAUACCAAGACACAUUAGGAUUUUAAGAAAUCCUAGAAAUUUUAAAAUUUCAAGACUUGUCCACUUGUCACAUUCAAAAUCAUGUGUGAACAAGUCUUUAGGGGGCAUUUGUAGAAGAGAAAAAAAUUAUUAGCCAAUUACGUGCCGCCACGUGGAUUUAAUGAUGUCAUAACCAUGUAAUUAAUUAUAAAAUAAUUAAUUUAUUGGUUGGAUUAUUUUAAAGACAUAUAGUUAAACCAAUUCUCCUAUUGGUAUAUAUUUAUCCAUUGAGAUAAUUUGAAAAUAAUAUUUAAAUUGGACCAAUCAAAAAAUUAGUUAUUGGUCAUUUAAUUUAUCUCUAAAUAAAUCAAGAUAAUUUAGAGAUAAUAUUCAUAUUUUUGACCAAUCAAAAAAUUAGUUAUUGGUUAUCUAAUUUAUCUCUAAAUAAAUCAAGAUAAUUUAAAGAUAAUAUUCAUAUUUUUGACCAAUCAAAAAUUAGUUAUUGGUCAUUCAAUUUAUCUCUAAAUAAAUCAAAAUAAUUUAGAGAUAAUAUUUAUAUUUUGACCAAUCAAAAUUUAAUUAUUGAUCAUUUAAUUUAUCUCUAAUAAUUAUAUUAAUUUAGAGAUAAAACUCAAAUUGGAUUAUUUAAUUUAUCUCUAAUAAAUUGAGAUAAUUUAGAGAUAAUACCUAACUUCAGCCAAUCAAAAUUCAAGGACUCAAGGUCCGGCCAAUCAAAAGACUUUUAAUGAGUCAUCAUGAUUUAUCUCUAAAUAAAUUAAAAUAAUUUAGAGAUAAUUCAAAGAGAUUACAUUCUCAUCAAAGUCUCCCACCAAACAUUAUAAAUAGGGGGCUCCCCCUAGUCAUUUUCAUUCAUUCAGAAGCAUUUGAAGAUUCAGAGGCAUUCGAAGAUUGGGAGCAUUUGAAGAUUGAGAACAUUUCAGAGAUCAAGAAGAAUAGAAGAUUUUUGAAGUGAAGAUCAAGCAACAACGAAGUUCGUGAUCAAGCGGCAACGAAGUUUGUGAUCAAGAUAUUGUGUUCGUGAUCAAGAUUAAGUCGUGAAAGCCCUUGAAGCGAAGAUCAAGUGUUUGUGAUCAAGAUUAAGUCGUGAAGACCCUUGAAGCGAAGAUUCGUGAUCAAGACUAAGUCGUGAAGACCCUUGACGCGAAGAUCAAGUGUUCGUGAUCAAGAUUAAGUCGUGAAGACCCUUGAAGCGAAGAUCAAGUGUUCGUGAUCAAAACUAAGUCGUGAAGACCCUUGACUCGAAGAUCAAGCACGUUCGUGAUCAAGACUAAGUCCAAGUUUGCGACUCUUGAAGAUAAAUUGAAGAAAUUAAUCAAAGAAAUUUUCAGAGAUCAUCACUCACUUCAUCAAAUUUUUGUAUUUGUCUCAUAAUUUUCAAGUGAAGAAAUUUCGACGAAAAAUUUGUGUGUACAUAUAUAUAUAUAUAUAUAUAUAUAUAUAUAUAUAUAUAUGAUAUGCAUCAUAUGAUACAUUAUAGUAUAAAUUUAAAAUAAUAUAAAUUAAUAUGUUAUAGCGUAUUUAUUUAAAUAUAAAAAAUAUAUCAUACGAUAUACGAUAUGUACAUAAUAUACAAUACAUGUAUACCG